UCACUAAGCGGAGGAAAAGAAACCAACAGGGAUUCCCUGAGUAGCUGCGAGCGAAACGGGAUCUAGCCCAGCACCGAAUCCCCCGUCCUUGNAGGCGGUCGGGAAAUGUGGUGUAUGGGAGGAAACGUUCCCGGGAGUUUGCGACGGUGCAAGUCCCCCUGACAGGGGCUUGUCCCAGAGUGGGUGCCAGGCCCGUCUCCGCCGUUGCGCGCCCG
rnacentral:rRNA from 1 species